rnacentral:rRNA from 1 species
AGUAAAUAGAUACCCAGGUAGUCCACGCCGUAAACGAUGGGUACUAGGUGUAGGGGUUUCGAUACCUCUGUGCCGCCGUUAAACACAAAUAAAGUACCCCGCCUGGGGAGUACGGUCGCAAGAUUAAAACUCAAAGGAAUUGACGGGGGCCCGCACAAGCAGCGGAGCAUGUGGUUUAAUUCGAAGCAAACGCGAAGAACCUUACCUAGACUUGACAUCUCCUGCAUUACCCUUAAUCGGGGAAGUCCCUUCGGGGACAGGAAGACAGGUGGUGCAUGGUUGUCGUCAGCUCGUGUCGUGAGAUGUUGGGUUAAGUCCCGCAACGAGCGCAACCCUUAUGUUAGUUGCUACCAUUUAGUUGAGCACUCUAGCGAGACUGCCCGGGUUAACCGGGAGGAAGGUGGGGAUGACGUCAAAUCAUCAUGCCCCUUAUGUCUAGGGCUACACACGUGCUACAAUGGUGAGUACAAAAAGAUGCGAGACCGUGAGGUGAGCCAAACUUUAAAACUCAUCCCAGUUCGGAUUGUAGGCUGAAACUCGCCUACAUGAAGCCGGAGUUGCUA